UACAGAGGUCUCAAGCGUUGUUCGGAUUCAUUGGGCGUAAAGGGUGUGUAGGUGGCGCCGUAAGUCGGGUGUGAAAUUUCGGAGCUUAACUCCGAAACUGCAUCCGAUACUGCGGUGCUUGAGGACUGGAGAGGAGACUGGAAUUCAUGGUGUAGCAGUGAAAUGCGUAGAGAUCAUGAGGAAGACCAGUGGCGAAGGCGGGUCUCUGGGCCGAUACUGACGCUGAGGAGCGAAAGCGUGGGGAGCGAACAGG
rnacentral:rRNA from 1 species